AAAAUUUUCCUCUGUAGUUCACAUAACAGUUCAACCACCAAACUACCAUAAUGCAGCAACACACAUUCGCCAUUUUCGUGCUUGGAGUAGUGUCCGUUUUCCUUUCCUGCUCAACGUCCACAGCUUCCGUCAUCAGCUGUCCUCCAAACAAUUUGGAGGUCGCUCCGAAUUUACGUCAGCUGUGCUAUGCCAUCGAGCAGGCCAUCAGUGAAGUCCAGAACAACCAGGCCGAAUAUCACUUCGACGAAAGAAAUGCCCCAGGGCAAGUGGAGAAGAAGAGGCAGGAUGUCGACCACGUUUUCUUGAGAUUCGGGCGACGACUUGGAUAUUAAACAUUAAUGGGUUCCAAUAAGGCUUCUUCUCAUAAUACCACUAUAUAUAUACAUGAUAUUUGUGUUCAGUUAUCUUAUAUAUGUUGUUCAAAGUAACGUUACUGUUUGGGAAAUUCACGCUUGUUUAAAAUAUGACUUUUCCUUACAAAUCAUUUCGGACGUGGUGACCAUUACAAUUUGUAGAAUUGUAGUUGGGGUAUUUCAAAAUCCAUUUAAUUCUAUUUCUUUAGCAAACUGUAGGAGGAAUGUAGGUUGAAUUUAUUUCACACAAAGUCAUAUUUUAAAUGCAAUAUUACUGUCUAUAGAAUUUGUUUCUGUCUGAAUUAUGAAAAUGUUACAAAUAAUAAUAAUAUAUUUAUAAAUAGCAA